AUUGAACGCUGGCGGCAGGCUUAACACAUGCAAGUCGAGCGAGCGGCGGACGGGUGAGUAAUGUCUUGGAAACUGCCUGAUGGAGGGGGAUAACUACUGGAAACGGUAGCUAAUACCGCAUACCAUCAGAUGUGCCCAGAUGGGAUUAGCGAGUAGGUGGGGUAAUGGCUCAACUAGGCGAAGAUCCCUAGCUGGUCGUAGAGGAUGACCAGCCACACUGGAACGGAGCACCGGUCCAGCCUCCUACGGGAGGCAGCAGUGGGGAAUAGUGCACAAUGGUCGCAAGCCUGAUACAGCCAUGCCGCGUGUAUGAAGAAGGCCUUCGGGUUGUAAAGUACUUUCAGCUGGGAGGCGUUACCCGCAGAAGAAGCACCGGCUAACUCCGUGCCAGCAGCCGCGGUAAUUC
rnacentral:rRNA from 1 species